GUGCUCACUUGGGCAACACAUAUACUAAAAUCUGAAUGAUCCAGAGAUUAGCAUGGCCCCUGCUCAAAGAUGACAUGCAAAUUCGUGACAUGUUCCAUAUUUUC
rnacentral:snRNA from 1 species